rnacentral:piRNA from 1 species
UGGGAUAAUACAAGAUGGCCUCC